rnacentral:rRNA from 1 species
AUGCCAACAGUCUUGUCACCUUCCGCAGAACAUAAGUUACUGGGGGCACUGUGCUAUUCGAACUAUUGUCCACCACCAGUCCACCUUGGUGGCAGCCUGCACUGGUGUCCUUUUUCUGUUUGUGGUGUCGCCGACAUUACUGGAGGCAGCAGAGACAUUGUUGUGUUCGACACAAAAGCAGAGUCAUUCCGGUGGAUGCGCAGUCCUGACCAGGCAUACCCUAAUAGGAAGUUGUUCGACAUGAAUGGGACGCUUGGUUUCUGGGGCAGCUCAAUCAAGGGUGAUGCAGGAGGUUGUUUGAGUUUCACCGCUUUGGAUAUUUGGGUGAUGCAGGAUUACAAGGCUGAAAUCUGGGCUUUCAAAUACCGGAUUGACCUGUCAACGGUUGAGGCAUCACGGCAACUUUAUUUGACUUCUUGCAAAGGGAAAAAGAAAGCACCGCUUCGUUCAACAGUGCAAUGGUUCAAUGAUAUGGCUGUGCUUAACGAGCAUGAGCUGCUGAUCAUGUUUAAUGAUAAACACGUGUUGCGCUGCAACACUGAUGGCAUGGUCUUAGGUUUGGUGAACAUUGGAAAGAGUCAAUACUGUAUGUCACUUACUUCCCACCGCUUCCAAGAGAGCAUUAUUCCAAUUCCAUCCUUCCCAUGA